CCUGGGUGGCCGUGGGCUGCUCACUGGAGCAGAGAGAAAGGGCUGGAGAGAGACAUGCUGUGGUUGCCCCGAGGAGGCAUCAGGGACAGGACACUGAGGCGUUCUGGCAGCAGUGACCCACUUAGAUAGGGGCUGCUGCCAUCAUGUGUCUUACGACUGAGCAGGCAGGGACAGAGGGCCAGGAGGAAAGCUGCUAGCGUCCAGCAGGUGGCAGCAGUUCCCAGAGGGACUGCUCUUCCAGGAACACCCUGGAUGGGGUUGCCCUCCGAGAGCCCAGCACGGCAUUCACACUCCCAGGUCCUUCUUGUUCCCGACUGCCAUUCUGGAGGGAUGGAAGACACGAGUUAAUACAGUUACCUUGUUAAACAAUAAAUGACUCUUGGCUUUGCAU
rnacentral:lncRNA from 1 species